rnacentral:rRNA from 1 species
UACGUAGGGUGCGAGCGUUGUCCGGAAUUAUUGGGCGUAAAGAGCUCGUAGGCGGUGUGUCGCGUCGGUCGUGAAAACUUUCAGCUUAACUGGGAGCUUGCGGUCGAUACGGGCAUCACUGGAGUUCGGCAGGGGAGACUGGAAUUCCUGGUGUAGCGGUGAAAUGCGCAGAUAUCAGGAGGAACACCGGUGGCGAAGGCGGGUCUCUGGGCCGAUACUGACGCUGAGGAGCGAAAGCAUGGGGAGCAAACAGG